rnacentral:rRNA from 1 species
GAGUUUGAACCUGGCUCAGGACGAACGCUGGCGGCGUGCCUAACACAUGCAAGUUGAGCGGAGAUAUAUGGAGCUUGCUUUAUAUAACUUAGCAGCGAACGGGUGAGUAACACGUAGAUAAUCUAUCCUAUACUGGGGGAUAGCCCGAUGAAAGUUGGAUUAAUACCGCAUAUAGCUAUAUAGUUGCAUGAUUAUGUAGUGAAAGAUUUAUUGGUAUAGGAGGAGUCUGCGGCACAUUAGCUAGUAGGUGAGAUAAAGGCUUACCUAGGCGACGAUGUGUAGCCGGUCUGAGAGGAUGAACGGCCACAAUGGAACUGAGACACGGUCCAUACUCCUACGGGAGGCAGCAGUGGGGAAUAUUGCACAAUGGGGGAAACCCUGAUGCAGCAACGCCGCGUGAGUGAAGAAGGUUUUCGGAUUGUAAAGCUCUGUUAGCAGGGAAGAGGAAGGACGGUACCUGCAGAGGAAGCCACGGCUAACUAC